rnacentral:rRNA from 1 species
UAGUCCACGCCAUAAACGAUGGUCACUAGCUGUUCGAACUUCGGUUUGAGUGGCUAAGCGAAAGUGAUAAGUGACCCACCUGGGGAGUACGUUCGCAAGAAUGAAACUCAAAGGAAUUGACGGGGGCCCGCACAAGCGGUGGAGCAUGUGGUUUAAUUCGAUGAUACGCGAGGAACCUUACCAGGGCUUAAAUGUAAAUUGACAGGUUUAGAGAUAGACUUUUCUUCGGACAAUUUACAAGGUGCUGCAUGGUUGUCGUCAGCUCGUGCCGUGAGGUGUCAGGUUAAGUCCUAUAACGAGCGCAACCCCUGCCGUUAGUUGCCAGCAUGUUAUGAUGGGGACUCUAACGGGACUGCCGGUGCAAACCGUGAGGAAGGUGGGGAUGACGUCAAAUCAUCACGGCCCUUACGUCCUGGGGCCACACACGUGCUACAAUGGCCGGUACAGNGAGCAGCCAUGCCGUAAGGCAG